GGUGCAGUGGGUGUCUGUGAGGGAUGUAGUGUGUAUGUGAAGGGUGCAGUAUGUGUGUGUGAUGGAUGCUGUGUUUGAGGGGUGCUGUGUGUGAUGUGUGUGUGUGGGUGCUGUGUGUGAGGAUGCUGUUUAUGAUGUGUGUGAGGUUGCUGUGCGUGAUGUGUGUGAGAGUGCUAUGUGUGAGAGUGCUAUGUGUGAUAGGUGUGAGAGUGCUGUGUGUGAUGUGUGUGAGAGUGCUGUGUGUGAUGGGUGUGAGAGUGUUAUGUGUGAGAGUGCUGUGUUUGAAUAUUAGAAGGGAUUGUGUUUGGGGGGUGGUAAAAAAUAAAAAUAAGCAGGCAUUAAACACCCCCUCCCUUCUUACCUUUAGCCUGGGAGAGGGGGACCGGCAUGGUGGUACCAAGUUGAGAGAGGCGGGGUAGACAAGCACUCGCACUCCGACACCAUCUCUGGUGGUCCAGUGGUGAGUGAACUUUAGCCUGUGGGCUAGAGUUCACUCUCGCGAGAUCCGGAUCUCACGUGAGGAACCCGGCGGACAUGCGGCACAUGCGGCGCACCCCCCCUUCCCAGCCGCAUGUGCCGCAUGUCUGUCCAAGUGGGCCGGUGAGGGAGAUCUUUGAUCUCCCCACCGGUCCAUAAAGGCACACAGCAUGGGCUGGUGCUCUG